GGCGUUUUGGCCGAGCGGUCUAAGGCGCUAGCUUAAGGUGAACUCGCUUACUCGAGCAAUAACCCGCUAGUCCGAAAGGGCGUGAGUUCGAAUCUCACAGACGUCA
rnacentral:tRNA from 2 species